rnacentral:rRNA from 1 species
GACGAACGCUGGCGGCGUGCUUAACACAUGCAAGUCGAACGGAAAGGCCCUGCUUUUGUGGGGUGCUCGAGUGGCGAACGGGUGAGUAACACGUGAGUAACCUGCCCUUGACUUUGGGAUAACUUCAGGAAACUGGGGCUAAUACCGGAUAGGAGCUCCUGCUGCAUGGUGGGGGUUGGAAAGUUUCGGCGGUUGGGGAUGGACUCGCGGCUUAUCAGCUUGUUGGUGGGGUAGUGGCUUACCAAGGCUUUGACGGGUAGCCGGCCUGAGAGGGUGACCGGCCACAUUGGGACUGAGAUACGGCCCAGACUCCAACGGGAGGCAGCAGUGGGGAAUAUUGCACAGUGGGCGGAAGCCGGAUGCAGCAACGCCGCGUGCGGGAUGACGGCCUUCGGGUUGUAAACCGCUUUCGCCUGUGACGAAGCGUGAGUGACGGUAAUGGGUAAAGAAGCACCGGCUAACUACGUG